rnacentral:misc_RNA from 1 species
AAAAAAAAAAAAAAAGGAAAUGAACAAAUUAUCUAUUCUAAUAAUUGGCUUAACCAGUUAGUACAGAACCUGGUACUGUGGCUAUUUAAAAAAUGUGACAUGACUUAUGAACCUUAACUGACCUAACCCAGAAAAUUCAGAUUUUUCGCUUAGUUCAAAUUGCAUAUUUAACAUCAAUGCAACUGUUUAACUUUUAUGUUUAAUUCAAAAGUUCAAAUGCAGUACUAAAGAACCAAGAAAACCACCUAUAUUUUGGAACAGAAGCGGGCAACUUUCCUCUCUAGUAAUAAUUAAUCAAGAUAAGCCUUUGAAACAUGAAGAACAAAAAAAAAAAAGUUAGGACUGAA